rfam:Oryza rufipogon genomic scaffold, chr10
AAUAAGUGCAGUUUUGCACUAUUUAUGUUCAAUGUUUGAGUUCGUCUUAUUUUGAAAAUUUUUUAUGAUUAGUAUUUUUAUUGCUAUUAGAUGAUAAAACAUGAAUAGUACUUUAUGUAUGACUAAAUAUUUUCAAUUUUUUCACGAAUUUUUUAAAUAAGACGGACGGUCAAACGUUGGGCACGGUAUCCACAGUUGCACUUAUU